rnacentral:tRNA from 1 species
ACCCCUGUAGCCCAAUUGGCACGAGGCGCUGCGCUUAGAACGUAGAUAUUGCUGGUUCAAGUCCAGUCAGGGGUA